rnacentral:rRNA from 1 species
AUCAACGUUCAUACCGCACUGAAUAAACUCGUUCUCCUCCGAUCACGAAAGUUAAGCAGUGCUGGGCACGGAUAGUAUAGUACUUAGAAGAUGGGGGUUGACCGCUUGGGAACUCUGUGUGAUGUUGGUU